GUGGAUUAGAUACCCUAGUAGUCCACACUGUAAACGAUGAAUACUAGGUGUGGGGGGACUGACCCCUUCCGUGCCGGAGUUAACACAAUAAGUAUUCCACCUGGGGAGUACGACCGCAAGGUUGAAACUCAAAGGAAUUGACGGGGGCCCGCACAAGCAGUGGAGUAUGUGGUUUAAUUCGAAGCAACGCGAAGAACCUUACCAGGUCUUGACAUCCGACUAACGAAGUAGAGAUACAUUAGGUGCCCUUCGGGGAAAGUCGAGACAGGUGGUGCAUGGCCGUCGACAACU
rnacentral:rRNA from 1 species